rnacentral:sRNA from 1 species
GCUGGGUACAGUGGCGCACACCUGUAAUCCCAGCAACUUGGGAGACUGAGACAGGAGAAUCUUGAGUUCAAAGCCAGCCUCAGCAAGCAAGGUGCUUAACAGCUCAGUGAGACCCUGUCUCUA